rnacentral:rRNA from 1 species
ACGAACGCUGGCGGCGUGCCUCAUACAUGCAAGUCGAACGCUUCUUUCCUCCCGAGUGCUUGCACUCAAUUGGAAAGAGGAGUGGCGGACGGGUGAGUAACACGUGGGUAACCUACCCAUCAGAGGGGGAUAACACUUGGAAACAGGUGCUAAUACCGCAUAACAGUUUAUGCCGCAUGGCAUAAGAGUGAAAGGCGCUUUCGGGUGUCGUUGAUGGAUGGACCCGCGGUGCAUUAGCUAGUUGGUGAGGUAACGGCUCACCAAGGCCACGAUGCAUAGCCGACCUGAGAGGGUGAUCGGCCACACUGGGACUGAGACACGGCCCAGACUCCUACGGGAGGCAGCAGUAGGGAAUCUUCGGCAAUGGACGAAAGUCUGACCGAGCAACGCCGCGUGAGUGAAGAAGGUUUUCGGAUCGUAAAACUCUGUUGUUAGAGAAGAACAAGGACGUUAGUAACUGAACGUCCCCUGACGGUAUCUAACCAGAAAGCCACGGCUAACUACGUG